UGUAAACAUAAGGGAUAUGUAUUCACUUAGCAUUGACUUUUGGGAGGGGCCAAGGAAAAGCUGUAGUUUUAUUGAAUAGGGCUGUGUGUGAGGCUGCUGGUGUGCCUUUCUUGCUGUGCUCCUGCCCAAGCAGCCAGUUAUUCAUUUCCUUCCUACUAGUUGAAAACUUUUCAGCCAGAGUGCCUGUGGUAACCAUUUGGUCAUUCAAAGAAUCCCUUGGGAGCUGAAGAGGCAGCAUCUUCCAGGCUCAGGGGCAUCAUAACUGUGAUCACCUCUAUUUUCUGGAGUCAUCAUUUUUAUUUCAUCAGCAGCUGGUUUGUUACUGAAAAGCUCCAAAUAUUUCCUCUGAUUGCCUUCCUAUUUGGAUCUUUCCAGAGCUCUAAACGCUUGAACACCCACCAUGGAUGACUUUGAACGCCGCAGAGAACUCAGGAGGCAAAAGCGUGAGGAAAUGCGCCUUGAAGCAGAGAGGCUGUCCUACCAGAGAAAUGACGACGAUGAGGAAGAAGCUGCCAGAGAACGCCGCCGACGGGCUCGACAGGAGAGACUGCGGCAAAAGGAAGAAGGAGAUCUAUCAGGAGAAGUAAUGGAAAAAUCAGAAGUUAAUGCCCAAAACAGUGUGGCAGAAGAGGAAACCAAGCGUACUACAACCACAGGGGGAACAGAUGAUGAAGCUGCAUUGUUGGAGAGACUGGCAAGACGGGAAGAGAGACGCCAAAAACGUCUACAGGAAGCUCUGGAACGUCAAAAGGAAUUUGACCCAACGAUCACAGAUGGGAGCUUGUCACUGCCCAGCAGGCGAGAAGUAAACAAUGUGGAAGAAAACGAGACCACAGGGAAAGAGGAAAAGGCUGAAACACGCCGAGGACGCUAUGAGAUUGAGGAAACGGAAACGGUUACCAAAUCAUACCAAAGGAACAACUGGAGGCAAGAUGGGGAAGAAGAGGAAAAAAAAGAAGAAAAAGACAAGGAGGAGGUACAGGAGGAGAAACCAAAGGAAGUCCCCAUAGAGGAAAAUCAGGUAGAUGUGACAGCAGGAAAAUCCACAGAUAAAGAAGAGGUAGUAGAAACAAAAAAUCUAGCUAUAAAUGCAGAGGAACACAAAGCAGAGAAUGAUACAAAUGUUGUGCCAGAAGGGGAGCAGAGUAUAACUGAUACUGUAGAUAAAGAGAAGCUUAGGGAUGAGGAAAAGGCUGAGGAAGAAAGGGAGAAACUUGAGGCAGAAGAAAGGGACAAGUUAAAAGCAGAGGAAGAAAAGAAGGCAGCUGAGGAAAAACAGAAAGCAGAGGAGGAAAAGAGGGCAGCUGAGGAAAGACAGAAAGCAGAGGAGGAGAAGAGGGCAGCUGAGGAAAGAGAAAGGGCUAAGGCAGAAGAGGAGAAGAGGGCAGCUGAGGAAAGAGCGAGGGCUAAAGCAGAAGAGGAGAAGAGGGCAGCUGAGGAAAGAGCGAGGGCUAAGGCAGAAGAGGAAAAGAGGAUAGCUGAAGAAAAGGCUAAGCUAGAAGCAGAGAAAUUAAAGGAAAAACAAAAGAUGGAAGAAAAGAAAAUAGAAGAUAAACAGGUAAAAGAGAAGAAAGUACAAGAGGAAAAACCUCAAGCAGCUUUCCUAAGAAAACAGGGGGAAGAAAAAGAGGUUAAAGUGGAAGCUAAAAAGGAAAAGUUGCCAGAUGAGAAUCUCCGACCUACCUCCAAAAAAGAUCAGGUAAAAGAUGACAAGGAUAAAGGAAAAGCACCCAAAGAGGAAAUUAAAAGUAUCUGGGAUCGUAAGAAAGGAGUUUCUGAACAAAAGGCACAGAAUGGAGAACGUGAACUCAUUGCCCCCAAGCUUAAAUCUACUGAGAAUGCUUUUGGCCGCUCCAAUUUGAAAGGGACCGCAAAUGCCGAGGAAGCAAAGCUGGGGUCUCAGGUCGAGGCUGGAAAGCGGCUAGAAGACCAGCGCCGUCGCCGAGGUGAGAACGAGGAGUUUGAGAAGCUGAAGGAGAAGCAGCAGGAGGCGGCGGCAGAGCUGGACGAACUGAAGAAAAGGCGGGAGGAGCGCCGGAAGAUCCUGGAGGAAGAGGAGCAGAAGAAGAAGCAGGAGGAGGCUGAGAGAAAAGCCAGAGAGGAGGAGGAAAAGAGGAGGAUGAAGGAAGAAAUUGAAAGGAGAAGGGCUGAAGCUGCUGAGAAACGUCAAAAGAUGCCAGAAGAUGGUGUAUCUGAAGACAAGAAGCCAUUUAAAUGUUUCAGUCCUAAAGGUUCAUCUCUCAAGAUAGAGGAGCGAGCAGAAUUUUUGAACAAAUCCGCUCAGAAGAGUGGUAUGAAACCCACCCACACGACAGCAGUUGUCUCAAAGAUUGACAGUAGACUUGAGCAAUACACUAGUGCAAUUGAGGGCACAAAGGCUGCAAGACCAGCUAAGCCAGCAGCCUCCGACCUGCCUGUUCCAGCUGAGGGCGUCCGUAAUAUUAAGAGCAUGUGGGAGAAAGGGAAUGUUUUUUCAUCACCCUCUGGGACAGGAACACCAAAUAAGGAAACUGCUGGACUGAAGGUUGGUGUCACCAGUCGUAUCAACGAGUGGUUAACCAAGACCCCAGAGAGCAACAGAUCACCUGCUCCAAAACCUUCUAUUGUUCUUUCUUCUUUCAAUGUAUCUGCUUGAAGGAACCUGCCCUCCUCCUAUUCCUCUCUGGGGGUCUGUUUGCUAAGUUGGUCAGGAUUUAAAACCAGGAGACGUAUCCAGCAAGCGUAAUCUCUGGGAGAAGCAGUCAGUUGAAAAGCCAGCUUCUUCUUCUUCUAAGGUAUCAGCUAUGGGAAAAAAAUCAGAGACUAAUGCAGGUUUGAGACAAUUUGAGAAAGAACCAUAGAAGGCCACUAAAGACGCUGGACCAAUCGGGGGAAAACAAAAAAAAAGGAAAAAGUGCUAAAUUGUUCUUUUUAUAUUUAUGUUUAUUUACCAAAAUGUCUUUUUGCAUUAUCCCAGUUAAAACCAUGUAUAUUAGCACUGUAUUUAAUAAUCAGUCUAGACAUUCAUCAUAAUAGUACUGCCUUUGCACAAGAGCCUUUAUUCCUAAAGAAACCCAUGCUGUGAAAUAUAUAGACUCUUCUACUGAUAGUCAUAACUAACUAUGUAUCUGAACAGUGAUUUCAACUGGCAUAAGAGGUCAACCCAAAAUGCAUGUAAAGUGAAGUUGCUUAAGAAAGGUGUGCAGUAAACCUAUAAAAACAAUGGUUACUUUUGUAAUACAGAAGUCUUUCUUUCUGCACUUUAGACUAAGGCAUGGAAGAAAUAUCUUUAGUUGACAAUGUAAUAUUUUCUGUAAGUUGCCCAUGUCAUGAGAAAUACUGCAUCAAUAACGUGUUUUAAUUUUUUUGUUUUAUACUUUUUUUUAAGUAUCAAUUUUUCCAUUCUAGUUUAAGUUAAUACCUGAAUUCGGAUGAUUAUGUUAGCUGACAGCGGUACUGAUAUUUCUUUUUGUUGUUAGUGACUAGUAAUUGAAUGCAAUUUAGAAUAUAUACACACAUAGCUUUACAAAGUUUAGCCUAAAGGCACUACUAAUGGUAGAAUGCUUUAAUACGUGCUAGAGUAUUAUAUUUAGUAAUAAACAUACAUAACUAGCCAAUAUCACAGCUUAAAAAAAUAAAGACAAAAUCACACACUUUUCUAUAGUAAGGUUUCAUAAAUGCCAUUAGAGGUAUGGUGAGAUAAGUAUUAAAAAAUUUUAAAUGUCAGUUGCCCAGUAACGGGUAAUUAAAAAGAAAGUAUAGUUUUUAAAAGAGGAAAAGGUAAGGGUAUAGAGGGUCAAAAAUAGGUCACUUGUAUAAAACAUUGUAGUUUAAUUUAUAUAAAACUACCAUAAUUAAAAAGAAAAAAACCUAACCACAGUUGGAGCUUGUUUCAAAUGACUGUACACUAAAUCUUGCCAUCCAUCAGUGCCGUACACUAAGUCCACCUAAAAUGAAGUAAACCUCUAUCUUUAUAGUGCUUCUUCUUAACUCUCUCUCCCGAAUAUCUUAUUUACAGAUGUUUUCAUUUGUAUAUAGUAAACACAUGGCUAUAAGACGUCAGCUUGGUUUGAAUUUACAUGCCAUACAGUUUAGCAUUUACAUCCUACAGUGUAUGGGUGGCAUAAACUGAGCAACUAAAGUAGCCCCUGAGCAUGUUGUUAACAGCUUUGGUGUGCAUCGGAACUACCACAAUCUCCCUUUUCACCACUUCCAUCUCUUACAGCAUCUGACUUCUUCCUAAAGAAGAAUAAUGCUAUAUAUCAACCUAAAGAUGAGCUCCCUUGCUUGGCUGAAACAUCUUGUUUACAUACAGAGAUGCACAUAGUUAUCUGUAGGGGGUGAAAUUGUGCCUGACAUUGUCUGUGAGUUGUCAUGUUUUUUGUUGGGGGGUUUGUAAACACUCCUCUGAGUCUUUCAAAUACAUCCCAUAGCUGCAAUAAAAAUGAUUUGUUCAAACAAUGUAUUCUGAAACUGCAUCCACAAUAAAUGGAAUAUUUCCGUGA